GGGAGAUGUUCCCACAGCUGUUUGCAUCUGUGCUGUCCUGUGUGUCUUUGUUCUUCCUGCACUGCUGGAGGGGGCACUCAUUUAUUUGGGUUUUCCUUUUCAACCCCUGUGGGCUCAGGUGAUUUAGGCUCAGCCUAAAGGAGGUGAGUUUGUGAUAGCUGCUGUUGGGUUUCCCAGAGCUGGUUUGUUUAAUUUAGCUUUCAUGCAAUAAAAGUUGAUAAUUACUUUCUUCCAGGAUUUGGCAAGAAAAUGCUGAAGCAGAGUUCCCCUUCUUCUCUUGCUGAGAUGUUUCUGCUCCAAGUCCCUCAGUGCCUGAGGACUCCCAGGUGUUCCAAGGUGGCAGCAGCUGGAAAAUCCUGUUGUGUGUGAGGCAGCCAGUUGGGAAUGGUGCUGGGCUCUGGCUGUGGAAGGGCUGGGUGGGUGUGGGUCAGGGGAUGUGCAGUGAGAGCAGUGUGCUGCGGGGUGGGCAGGGCCUGGCUCUUGUGUCUGCCAGGGGCACUGGGAGAAAACCUGCCGUGUGCCCUGAGCUGCUUUGGUGUGUUGGAUCUCCUGUUUCCAUGGCUUUUCCCAAAGAGUGGGAAGAAAAAGCCAUUCCUCUGCUUUAGCUAAAAGUACACCUGGAAUUUUGCCCUCCUACAGAACUGCUGAGUUCUGUUGCUUUUCCUGGUUUGGGCAUACAGAGGAUGGGGGCAGAGGAUUUUGUCCCAUUUUGUGCCUCUCUGUUGUUUCAGCUCCUGCUCAGAAUAUGAACAGAGCCUUGUCUGCUCAAGGCCACUGGCAAGCAGGGGACAAAGAAGGGACCCAGAACCUCUUGGCCUCCUGGCAGAGAGAGAAGCAGCCGAUGGUGCUGGCAGAGCUGCUGCGAGUCCCUGCUGGAGUCUGGUUUGGUGCUGUCCCUUUGUCCCCCUGCAGGCCCCACUGGAGCGUGUCCAGGCUGUGCCACGUCUGUCCCCAGCUGGGUGCAGGCGUUUGCCCUUGGCAGGGUGCCCUGGGGGCUGAGGGCUGCCCCUGCCCUGCUGCUGGCAGGGGAGGCAGGGCUGGCACGGGGCAGCUCCUGCACUCCUGGCUUCCACAGGCUCCCGUGGUUCUCUCCAGGCUGUUCCAGGCUGCUGCAGCGCUCGGCCAAAGCCCUGGAGCCCCUGGGCUGUGGAUGGGCACUGGCUCCAGACAAAGGCCACUUGUGGAGGGCCUGGCCUCGGGGGCAUUCCUGGAAGGAGGAGGGCCCUGGGGUGAGAGCUGUGACCCCUGAGGUUGGAGAGGAGCCUGGCAUGGCACAGAGAGACUUGGAGAAAGCGUUUUCCAGCCUCACACUUGUGCUGAAAGGUCUGCAGCAGGGCUGAGUUUUGCAGAGAGGUGUGAAGGGUUUGUGAGAGCAGAGCAGGAAUGCAGAAAUCAGCUCCAGCAGGAUGAGCAGUGUCUGCUUCUGUUCCCAGAAGGCUGAACCCAACACUGAGCCCACAGCCUGUGGCCAUAAUUAACAGUAAUAAUUGUGCCUUUGUCUCUCCAGGCCCCUGGCACGUGUGGGACAAGAACUGACACAGAAUUUCCUGGGACCCUGGCAGAGAGAAGCAGCAAAUGGUGUUGGCAGAGUUUCUGUGAGUCCCUGUGAGAUCCUGGUCUUGUUACAGCUUAGGAAAGGAUCUGAAUGGGAAAACAGCUUGUUUGACAUGAAACCCUCACAUGGAACAUAAGAACAAGGUGAUGGGAUAAGACUUGUUGGAACCUAGAAAUAAGGUGAUGUGGAUAUUUUGGAUAGAGGCAAAGCAUCUGCAAACACGUGGCAGGAGACUCUGAAAGGUGAGUGCAGAGCUGAAGGACACAAGCAGGAAAACAUCUGGGGAUGUGUUUGGGUUUCUCAAGGUCUUGUAGAUUCCUGUCUGGAGUUGCCAUUUGUCAGUAGAGCUGGGUCAGGAUCCUUCAGUGGAAAGUCAGGAUUGUCUUGUGUUCCUGGCUUAUUACAGCUUGAGUUUUGCCAAGGAAGGGCAGCCUGCUCUUGCUGUUGUGUUGGGACAGGUGAGUGCCCUUUUGGCCCUCCUCCAAGGAGCAGAGGAGCCUGGGUUUGUGUCCCUGGGAUUGUCCUGACCUUCCAGACAAGGCCCAAGGUGAGUGCCAAGGCACAGGGGGUGCUCUGGGAGUCUGGAGGGGUUGGGCUCUUCUGUCCUGGUUCUGCUGAGGGGAUUGCUCAGGGCUGGACAACAGGCCCUGAGCCAAACCUUCCAACCACUGCUGUGUUUGUAUCCCCUCAUUAACAAAAGACACAGGAUCAUUAGUGUGGGCUCUGGGUGUCUGCUCGUUAACAAACACAGACUGACCUUUCUGUGUUGGGAAGCUGGAGAAGGCCAUGAGAUGAGAGCCCUGCUCUUGCUGGGAGCUCCAUGGCCCAAGGCAGCUCCUGGGUUGCUCCCUGAGCCCUGGCCAGGCUCUGGGAGGAAGCCAGGAGGGGCUGAGCCCAGCUGUUCCCGCCCUGACAGUGCUGGGAGCCUGUGGAUGGCACCCAGGGGUGCCAGCUGGGCCCUGUCCCAGCCCAGGGGGAGCCUCUUUGCCUGCGGGUGGACGCACCCGUGGGAAUUCCAGUUCUGGGAGGGGCUCUCAGUGCUGGGCUGGGACAGGGGCUCCCCAGCUGGGGCUCUGCAGGGUGGAGCAGCCUUAGGGGGUCCCUGGGGCUGUGUCUCAGUCCCUGUGGACAGUCCUGGGUGGCAGUGAUGAGGGGCAGUGCUGAGCUUCUCCUUAUGCUCUCUAGAGGGGCAAAGCAGAGGCUUAUUUCAAAAGCUUUGCAAAGGAAAAUGGCAACUGAAUUAGGUACAAGCCUCAAAAACAGGUAAAAUUUCUCUUCUAAUAAUGACAAUGUUAAAUUAAGAAAUGGAAUAGAUUUGGUAGAGUUUUAGAAGUUUAGGCAGUAUAAACUGCACAAAAUUGUAUCAGCAAGAUGGAAGAAAUAAGUUCAUUUCCCUCAAAUGACAGCUUUGGUUGAGGUGAUUUUUCUGGGCAGUUUUUCAACUUGAGUGGGAAUGAAAGUUUCCAAGGUGUGCUGAGAUCUGGUGUGACACUUGGUAGCUCAAGCCUCCUCCACAAUAGCAAGCUGAUGUUGGUGUUUUCACUUUCUUCUCAGGGAAGAAAUGACCUGAAGCUGUUCUUGUCUCUGGCAGUUGCAGGGCAGGCUUGGAUCUGUGCUCCAGCUGUUGUGGGGUGUGUGCUGGGUGGUUUUUAGGGAUGUGGUGGGCACUGGGCAGCAUUCCAGCCUGGAGAGCUGCUCUGGCUGUGCUGCAGGGCUGUCACAAACUCCUGGGUUCCUGCUCUGCUUCUGUCCCAGGGCAGAGCUGUCCUGCUCUUCCCAGCAGCCCUUCCUGUCUUGGGAAGUUGCUCCAUCCUGUGCUGGAGGGAGAGAUCUGGGUCGGGGCUGUGUUCUGCAUGCCUGGACUGGCCAAGGCUGUGGCUGUGGUUGGAAUAUUGCCCUGGAGAUCCUGGACAGGUGAGCGUCCCUCCCCUGGCAGGUGGAUCUCACAGGCUCUGGGUUGUGUGCCACACUCAGGCUGUGGUUUGCCCUGGGUUCCUUUUUUUUGGGCAGCAAUGGGCUGGAGAACUUGAAAUAACUUUGAAACAGAAGAAGUCACCUUUUUCUUCUUCUUUCUUUCAGGUGCUGGCCUUGCCUCUGCAGGUGUCUGCUGAGCUCUGGUUGCAGGGGACUGCCAGGCCUGAAUGGCUGUGAGUUUGUGUUCUUCCAGUUCUGGGG